rnacentral:rRNA from 1 species
AUGAUUAUAGGAUGUACGAGAGGGGAGUUUCAAGAUAUUAACAUGUGUCAGGAUAAUACUCUGAUGUUCAUGGACAUUCAUAGUGAACGAAAUGGUAGUCAAGCAAGGGAAUUUGGAUCGCAAGGUUGGUAUCCUAUAUUUAUUUUUAUUUUCGGUUCUGGUGAAGUGAUAUCCAUAUCAAUGUUUUCAUCUAUGCCACUGGAUAUGAGGUAUGAUAAAUUUGGUGAAGAUAUGGAUGAUUGGCAGAGAGAAAUGUUUAUCAUGUUCAAAGAGAUGGCAAUGUAUGGGCUAUUGAUAUUACUUCUGCUGGAAAGGAGGCAUAUGAAGGUAUGGAAAAUUCAAAAGAAAUGGUACAGAGGCACAAAGAAGAUGUUGAAGACUUAA